rnacentral:rRNA from 1 species
UACAGAGGUCUCAAGCGUUGUUCGGAUUCAUUGGGCGUAAAGGGUGUGUAGGCGGUUAUUUAAGUUUGGUGUGAAAUCUCCCGGCUCAACCGGGAGGGUGCGCCGAAUACUGAAUGACUUGGAGUGCGGGAGAGGAAAGUGGAAUUCCUGGUGUAGCGGUGAAAUGCGUAGAUAUCAGGAGGAACACCGGUGGUGUAGACGGCUUUCUGGACCGUAACUGACGCUGAGACACGAAAGCGUGGGUAGCAAACGGG